UCUGGGCGGAUGCGUGUUCUGCUUGCGGCCCUUCAUAUUGUUAUUUUCUGGGUGUUUCAGUGACGCUCCGUCGCAAUCUGGUUGCGGAAGUGAAGCGCUUUCGUUCGUUACCUGCCCAUCGGCAGGUGGCGUUUAGAUUUGUGGGACUACCAAUCGUCCGGGUCAACGUUACCAGAAUAGCGGACGCCGGACAGGAACCACCCGGCCGUUAUCGGGAGCAGGUGCUUCUCCCUGGCUUGAAGUCAGGUAAGGUUCUCCUAUUCAGUGCCUAAGUUUCACUGAAUGUCUGCGCGGAGUUCGAGUUGUACAGUAGCCCUAACCCGUAACGAUUAAUUGGAAAAGGUUUCUGCUGAUGUACAGUACUCCGUCUCGUGUGCUCACAUUUGUUCGCAUGGUAUUGUAUUGUAUUGUUCGUAGUGAAGCGCAGCAACGGCAAUUCAAACGCGAAGGUAUUUUCGGCUGCUGCAAUAUCCGCUCACAAUAAUUUCGUCAAAGAAAGGAAGGACUUCUUCCAAUCGGAAACGGUGAUCAUUCAGCAGAAAAACAAAAUGUCACAUGUACAUGGUUAUGGCUCAUGAUUGCACAAUUAGUUACAGGGCUGCCACACUUGGAGGGAGAAAAAUCUGACGGGGGUGCUGGGGUGUCUCCCGCUUGGGUGCAGGGGGCACGGCCCCCUUGGUGAAAAUAUUUAGGAAAAUAGCUUGCUGUUGGGGCCCCAGAACACAUUUGUAACUGUCCAGCACACGUGCUACAACCAUGUCAAUUAUGAAUAAAUGGCCAACUGGACUAAAAAGCGCUCAAAAUAUAAUAAUCGGUUGUCCCUCUUUGCGGAACAAAAUCGGUCGCUUUGUCGGACAGGCGAUCAAAAAUCGGAGUAAGUGGCAGCCCUAAGUUAUAUUCAUUGCCAUUUUACGACUAUUGUCUCCUCGCAUGUUAUUGAAGUACUUUGAUCCGAUCUCUUUGUCAUUUUAGGGGGAAAUCCCUAUCUGUGUGCUCUUUGACCAACUGAGCACAUGAUAAUGACGUUGUUGGCUGAGGUUUGAAUCGCCUCGAAAAGAGCUUUCUGUGAUAGGGGAGAGUGGAAUGGCAUUGAUGGUGGAAUUUACUCGCAUAUUGGGCUUGGGGUGGACUUUGCUGUAAUCCCGCGCCUAAUUUGUGGCAGCUAGUUGAUGGAGUCUGGUAUGCUGGCGUUGCUCUCGCCAGGAGCUUUCCAAAGAGCCCAAGGUUGUGGAAAUGCAGUGAAGGAGGUCAAAGUUGUAGCCUGUUGAAGGUGUAAAUUGUGCAGAAAAUAUAAAUUCUGUUUCAUUCUGUGCUGGAAAUCAGUACAUAAAGGGAUAUUUAUUUAUUUUUGCUUCAUUUUUGUUUCCCUACCAUGGCUGGCUACCGCCCCCUCCCUCCGUAUUGGCCUAUAUUCUCUGGCCACGGGAAGGUGAAAUAAAAUAAAUAAAUAAAUAACUGAUGCAGCAUGCCUGGUGUGCGACAAUACCAUACCAGUAAAGAAGCUGGUCAAAUAGUGAAAUAGGGCUUUCAACGCAAGGAUCAUAACGUGAAGCAAGUUGGUAGGAUGAGUAUGCAUGCUAAGUGUAUGGAAGGAAUGCAUGCAAGGAGAGAGUGCAUGUUCCAAUACCACGUUAUGUGUGCGAACAAUUGGAAAAAUGAAGAAAAAGAAAAACGAUAAGCUAGCACCGCAGCAUAAUAAUAAUUACUCCGUAAAAUGUACCUGACCUGUCAGUGUGUGUUCAGGAUCAAACCCCGUGUUAUGUAUGAAAAAAAUGACAAAAAUGAAAAUCUAGCACCAUACACCCUAACUACUCGAUUCAGCCUCUGGGAAAUCCAGAUAAAUAAUAAUUGGUUUACAAAUCAAUUGGCUGGAAAUCCCAGUGCCCUCUGUAUGCUUUGCUUUCACGUAGGUCAUCAUGCUUGUUACUUCAGUUUCCUAAUCAUCAAUUUCUAUAAAACUGAAAGAAACGCCUUUUCAAUAUUAUUAUCAAGUACAUCUUUAUGUAAAGUUUUUUUUGCGAAAACGUUUCUAUUAGUUGCAUAGAAAUAGAGGAUUUCUUAUGGUAUGCGAGCUCCACUGCACAGCACAGCACUCCACAGCAAACGCGACGCAGCUCACCAGAUCAAGGUGUGGGUCCUCUUCCGGUGCCGAAAGGCGGGCUCACACCCCUACAUAGCUACUUCCCAUUGUCUAACGCCCACCAAAAAAACCAUUGUUGGGCUUGGUGUGGGCUGUGCAGCAUUUCCGUUGCUACCUGCUUGGUAGAAAAUUUGAAUUUGUUAUAUGCACAGCGACCAUUCUCUGGAACAUUUGGCUAACUUUCAACAUCCACCAGCGAUUGUGGCUCGCUGGCUGGAAUUUUUGUCUGAAUGUGAGUUCACCAUAUUGUACAGGGCAGGUCGAUCACACGCUAACGCUGAUGCACUGUCACGCCGCCCUGAUGCUCCGACGACGCUGUUCGUAAUGGCCGUGAAUAACGACGUUGGCAACAUCCCCACACCCCUCAUCCGCCGUUUCAACUGGCCGUGGUCAAGAUGGGAAACGGAACAGGAGAAGGACCGAGAUCUCGCCCAAGUAGUGUCCUGGCUAGGUAUGGACUCUCCGCCUUGCCCGCAGGACAUGAUGGGUAGCAGUCCUGAGCGUUUGCUUUCUGCUUGGCAUAGAUAAGACCAGGACAACUUGGCAUCUGGAUUACCGCCAGGAGAAGCAUCCGCAGUAUCGUCACAGCCGGAAUUUGUGAGUGCUCUCCGCCGACGCCUGGAGGACGCUCAUGCACAGGUCCGGGAACACCUGGGCAACGUGCACCGUUAUCAAGCGCAUAUCCGUGAUCGCUACUCUAAGGCCGUGGCGUUUGCAGCAGGUGACGCAGUGUGGCUUCUGGUGCCAUCUAUACCGACGGGUACAACCGCCAAGUUUGCUAGACUUUGGGACGGACCGUACCUAGUCGAAGAGAAGCUCUCAGCCGUCACCUACCGCAUCAAACUGUCUGAGCCCACGGCACGUCGGCUGAUAGUGCACGUCAACCGGCUGAAAAGUUGCCAUCAUCGACCGAGUCGGCUGCAGGAGGUUCACGAGCAAGAUGAGUCGGACCCACCGCAGCCCAUGGCAUCCACCCUGACUCCGUCCUACCAGCCUGAUGCCACCAAUACCGCCGACCGAGACGAGGGGGACACCGCUCGGGUAUUUGGCAGUGCUCCGCCAGUUGGCGUGAUGGAAAGGCGAACUCCGCGUUCCCGCCAUCCGCCCCAGCUGUUUGGGAGUCCUGUGUGGCACGAGUAAGUGACUUCAGUGGUAUUGACUGGAUUAGUGGUGUUCGAUGUUACAGUUAGUCUUUGAACAGAUUUUGAUAAGAACACCAAUUUGACCUGCACUCGUUUAGUUUAAUUGUUAGCCAUAAUCUUAGUCUAAUUUAUAACGUUACUUAUAACACGAGGACGUGUUCUUUUCCAUGUAAGCGGGGGGAUAUGUCGUAUCCAUACUAUUGACACGUGCCUUUUAGGCCUCUACGUGACAAGUCUGCCUUAUUUAGGUGUCUAAUUAUUUAUCUAUCUCCCAUAAACGGGUUCGUAAUCGUCUUUAUUUUAUGUCUUCACGCAAGGCCUGGGGCCUUCCUUGUUUGGUAUACGCUGUUAUUUCCCCACCUAGCUCCCGCUCUUUAUGCAACAGUUUGUACACAUAUUUACUACGGUUUGAUACGCUAUUGCAUGCGGGACCAGCAAGUUGGUGGCCAUGGAUUUCCAUGGCCGCAAUUGGAUAGUAUUGCCAUCACCUUCCUUUUCUCUCUAUCUCUCUUGCCUUGUGCUCUUCAUUAUCUUCUCUUGAACUGAGUUACAUGUACCAUCCUGUGAA